UUGGGUUGGAUUAAAUGAGUGGGUUAAAAAGAUAAAGGGAGCCCAUUUAAAUUAUAAAGCCCAAAUUUCUAUUUCUUUAAUUGAGAUAAAAACAUUCCAGAGAUUUCUUUUUCUCAUCUUCCUCUUCAAAACAUCACGCUUAAGAGAAUGGAGAAGGCUAGAGUGUAGGACUUUGGAUGGAAAUUUCAAACAAUCACUCUUAAAAAAGAUCAAUUCAUCUUUGCCAUCAGUUUUGGAGCUUAAAUGGAGAUUGUACGCGUAUUUGGAUUGGAGAAGUAGAGAAUUUGGAGGGUUAAGCAACGAGCUAUUUUAUUUUGCUUUAUGAAAUUUGGAUUAAUCGAUCGAGUGUUUCCUUUCAGGCUUAAUAUAUGACGAUGUGGUCGAGCUUCCAUCCGUUGUUCCGGAAGUCUCAGUUAUGGGGAGUCUUAUUCUUCUAAGAGCUGCAGUAGUCAUGAUAGUAGAGUUAGCCAGUAGUAAACAAUUGUUUUUUAUUUUAUGCUAUGACGUAAUGAUGUAUUUUGGGAAAGUGAACUAUCCAGAAAUUUAAUAUAUGGUUAAUUGGUAGUUUAUACAGA